AUUGAACGCUGGCGGCAUGCUUUACACAUGCAAGUCGAACGGUAACAGGCCUUCGGGCGCUGACGAGUGGCGAACGGGUGAGUAAUGCAUCGGAACGUGCCCAGUCGUGGGGGAUAACGCAGCGAAAGCUGCGCUAAUACCGCAUACGAUCUAUGGAUGAAAGCGGGGGACCGUAAGGCCUCGCGCGAUUGGAGCGGCCGAUGUCAGAUUAGGUAGUUGGUGGGGUAAAGGCUCACCAAGCCAACGAUCUGUAGCUGGUCUGAGAGGACGACCAGCCACACUGGGACUGAGACACGGCCCAGACUACUACGGGAGGCAGCAGUGGGGAAUUUUGGACAAUGGGCGCAAGCCUGAUCCAGCAAUGCCGCGUGCAGGAAGAAGGCCUUCGGGUUGUAAACUGCUUUGUACGGAACGAAACGGUUCUCUCUAAUACAGGGGGCUAAUGACGGUACCGUAAGAAUAAGCACCGGCUAACUACGUGCCAGCAGCCGCCGUAAGAC
rnacentral:rRNA from 1 species